UAAAGAAAAAGAUUGAACAUUUGGCGACCGCUGACUUAGCUAGCAUAAAAGGUUGUUUAGAACAGGAGACUUUUCUAACUUUGUUCUUGAAAGUCAGUUACUCUGUCGUGGAGGAGUAAUAAGAAAUGGGCCUUGCGGUACGUAUGAAGGAGCUCUCCAUAACAAGAGAUCGUUUGAGCAUAAGUAUGAUCCAUCGUUUGCGUCAUUGGGCAAUCUACCGGUCUUUGAUUUAACAAAUUGGCUAUGAAGACGGUGUAUAAUUCGAACGGUGUGAUGUGGUGAUUUCCCAUCGCAUAUUUAAGUGCACAUUUACAGCUUUUUACCAUUGAUUCAACACAACCGUUUUGAUGAGGGGCAUUUUGACGAUGAACAUGUUGAUCCUUCAAUGGAACUUGUAUUUGGUGGCACAUUUUUUAUAUGUCUCCACAUAUCGCAACUGGUCGUUCUCUAAAUCGUAAGAUUACUCCAAGCAUGUUAUUUAGGAGGUCAGGUCCUUUAACCCAAAACUCGUUCAGGCUCUUUCCUUUGUGCGUUGCUGACGAAUUGAAGACAAUACGGACAGGUGUACUCUUCUUUUCGGGACGUAAGAGCUCGUAAUAGGAUAUAUAUAUAUUAUAAAUUAUAGUGCACGGGCCAUCAUAAUUUUUAAUCUCACUUUCAGCAAGCUUUCGCGAAAACCCUAGAUCCUCCAUUUGUUUCAUUUGCUCUUUAUAAGCGUUAGCAUGAUCUUUAUUCUUCUUGAGCCUCUUUUCUGUUGCUUCUAACAGAUGUAGAGCUUGCUGUCGGUUGUCGGCAAGUAAUUUUGGAUCAUUUCUCCAAGGGUACGUCAUUAACCACCUGUUGUUUAUCAAUUUACAUCCAUCCUCGAUUAAUUUAGAUUCAUCUUGUUCUAUUUUGCUUAGGCGGGGCGUUUCAAGCUUCAUGUUUACUCCCAAGCUUUCAGUAAUCCAAAAAUCUGUAAGAUCAACGGGUGUUGUAAACUGUACAUGAAACACCUGAUUGGUUUGUUGUGUACCGGGUAUUGCUCUAAACAAAACCCAUCCAAGAGGCGAAUGACGUGCAGCGAUACCUUCAGUCAAAUAUCAAACGCGUUUGAGAUUUGACUCAUCUUUCACGAAUGACAAAUGUUGUUCAAAACUUCCGCGCGCACUAGGAAGUUUUUUCGAUCACACUUGUCACGAAUAAAAAGUACGCGCUGCAAGUUCACAAGUGUGCGGCGGGCUUAAGAGAGUAAGUCGUUGACAAGUACCACAAUCAACCUUCGGUUGACAAUUCAAGUUUUUUCUUCAAGGCAGAACGUUAGCUAUAAAAUACAAACACCUUCAAGGCAAUCAAAACUUUACAAAUUUCAACCAAAAUCACGAAAUGAGGACGAUUCUGUUUAAUUUUGUUCGCUGAUUUUUCACUGUCAUUGAGAAAUAUGGCGAGUCGGCCGACAACAUAUUGAGGACUACUCGACACACUUCCAACAAGAACAAGACAACAGGCACAAAAUAAGGAUUGUAACAGAAGCGCCACUCAGAGAAAAAUUUGUCCCCCACUUGCACCCUGUUCUCAAAUGCGCAUCCGUUGCGUCCGCCAUUACUCCAGCCAGAUAAACUGGCCAGAAUGCAUAUAUGUUAAUAUUAUGGAGAGUUGUUUUCGAAAAUUUGACGAAUGUAGAUUCACUUAUGGACAAAAUUUUUGAUGCCAUCGGACAGGAUACCAAGGAUAUGAGUAAAGAGUUUCCUAUUUGAAUGGUCAAUGGAUUUGUUAGAAGCGAUAAAACGACAUACUGUGCGUAAAGAACGUUCUUCAGAUGAAGACGUUAUUAGUAUAGAAUUUGGAAUAAACUACUUUAUUUUUGAUGCUUGAAUUGGGACUUUUCAUUUGCAAUGUAGUUUGUCUGCAUAAUUGUAAUUGAAAGUUCUUAUUUGUAAUUGUAAAUCGAGUUCCUAUAGCUAUCAUGUCGUCAUGUUUGUAUUAACUUACAAAUAAAGAUUUUUUUAAUAACAAUAUAUGAAAUUGCAAUUAUUUAAAGGAUGAAGUUAUUGAUAAAUUGUUUCAAUUAAAUUAACAACUUUGUCAUUAUGUCAAACAUAUUGUCAAACUCCUA